rnacentral:rRNA from 1 species
AGUGAACGCUGGCGGCGUGCUUAACACAUGCAAGUCGAACGGUAACAGGAAGUAGCUUGCUACUUUGCUGACGAGUGGCGCACGGGUGAGUAAUAUAUAGUUAAUGUGCCUCGAAGACUGGGAUAGCCACUGGAAACGGUGAUUAAUACUAGAUACACCUCUUUAGCUCAAGCUGGGGAGGGAAAUGUUUUUUCGCUUCGAGAUCAGACUAUAUCCUAUCAGUUAGUUGGUGAGGUAAGAGCUCACCAAGGCGAUGACGGGUAGCGGGUUUGAGAGGAUGAUCCGCCACACUGGUACUGAGACACGGACCAGACUCCUACGGGAGGCUG